UACGUAGGCAGCGAGCGUUGUUCGGAGUUACUGGGCGUAAAGAGUGCGUAGGCGGUUUCUAAGUUUGGUGUGAAAUCUUCCGGCUUAACUGGGAGGGUGCGCCGAAGACUGGAAGGCUUGAGUAUGGGAGAGGUAAGCGGAAUUCCUGGUGUAGCGGUGAAAUGCGUAGAUAUCAGGAGGAACACCUGCGGUGUAGACGGCUUACUGGACCAUAACUGACGCUGAGGCACGAAAGCGUGGGUAGCAAACAGG
rnacentral:rRNA from 1 species